rnacentral:rRNA from 1 species
UACGGAGGGUGCAAGCGUUAUCCGGAUUCACUGGGUUUAAAGGGUGCGUAGGCGGGUAUGUAAGUCAGUGGUGAAAUCCCCGAGCUUAACUCGGGAACUGCCAUUGAUACUAUAUAUCUUGAAUAUUCUGGAGGUAUGCGGAAUAUGUCAUGUAGCGGUGAAAUGCUUAGAGAUGACAUAGAACACCUAUUGCGAAGGCAGCAUACUACGGAAAGAUUGACGCUGAGGCACGAAAGCGUGGGGAUCAAACAGG